CUGAAACCACUGCAGAGAAUCACAAAUACCAUCUUCCUUCUGCAGGGUUACAAAGAGAAGAAUAAAUUCAUGGCUGCUCAAGGUAAAGUGUUUUACCCAGCUCAUUUCUGCCCCUUUGCUUCCUUCUCAUUUGUGUGGGAGAUGAUUGGAGGCAGCAGCAGGGCUGAGGUUUGUGUUAACCUAUCCUCCACGGCAGCCUGGGCCACCCUCUGCACAGGUGGGUUCAGCAUGUGUAGCCAGCACCCCUUCCUCAUGCUAGAACCCUUUCUCCCUGACCUCACUCCCAGAUAACCAAGGCUCUGUCACAGCCAAGACUCGGUCCUCUCCCAGGGUCCAUUUGUUUAACUAACCAGCAGAGGGCUUCAGUCAAUGAAUGGACUGAAAUCCAUGAACACAGUGCCCACCAUAUAGUCAUGGCUUAAUAAAUGCUAGUAAGCCCCGCCUGACCCGACACGUUGGGUCCGUGUUGUCCAGCUUGGCAGAAGAGAGCUCUCUCCCUGUGCUCCUCAGAGCUGGUGGUGAGCACCCAUCUGGUGGACGGCCUCAGGCUGCCUGGGGGCCAGGUCCUGCAGACUGCCUUUCGACUGUGGCCCUCUCUCUCAUCUGCAGGCCCCAAACAGGAGAUGGCCAGGGACUUCUGGAGGAUGGUCUGGGAGCAGAAGUCAGAGACCAUUGUCAUGCUGACCAACUUGAAAGAAAGAAAAAAGAGCAACAGAAAGAUGGGCAGAAGAGCUGGGAAGAAUGUCCACCUGAUUUGCUUCACAAGGAAGAGCAAACGACUACAAGAGACCAAUCCCCAUUCACCCGGAACUUGCAAACUAAAAGUUCCCAGCCCCAGUACUAGAGUUUCAUCAAUCAACUUACUAGUUUUCUGAGCAACACCCUUAACACCGUACCAAAUACAGAGGAAGCUGUGAUGGAAAGGAUACAAGAAAUCAGUACUAAUGAUUUGGAUAGAUGUGAGUAUGUUGGCAGAAAAGUUGUCACUUAAGAAUUUUCUGCUCAUAUGGUUUACGUUCCUAAUACAGAAAAUGCUUGUGCCUCAUUUCAAAUUAAAAAUCCGUUUCCAUUGUUGAGAUUUUGCAACAGUAAGGCAAGAGAAGGUGUACAAAAUCUAUGAAGUUAAUUGUUCCAUUUCUCAUAGCAAAAUAUUUCCAGUUGUUAAAAUCCAAUAAUGCUGCUUAUAUCACUUCAGAAGGAGAUCUCCCAAACUCACUUGGAAGUAUAUCUAGUGAAUAUGUGAUGGUUGUCAAACUCUUUCCCCCCCCUAGAACUGAUAUAAAACCAAAAAGGUAGCAAUAAGGCUCAUUUAAAAAGCGCAAUCACUUGUUCAAUUUCUGCAGAACAGUUUAACCAACAGCCUCAUAUAGAAAAUUCAUAAUCCUGAAAUCAGUGUAGUGAAAACUGUCUCUUCAUCUCUUUGUCGACCUCCAGUUCACACAAAUAUUGAUGUUUAUCUUGGAUUGAAUAUGUUUUGCAGAGGCCUUCCAUAGAAGUCUUGUUUUUGCCUAGUAGUCUAGCUUUUUCUCGUUGGGCAAGUUUCUCUAGUGUCCUGAAAAUUUAGUAGACUGUUACAUUAUUAAGUUUAAGCGGAAGUGUUUUAUUUUCAUAUAUGAGCCUCCCUUCUCUCCUCUCCAUUUCAGCUGAUGAUAUACACUGCAGAUUUCCUGGGGGAAAAGUUCCCAGCAUAAUGAAAUCCAUAUUUUGACUAUAAUACUUGGAUUCACAUGUUUGCUUGGAAAGGAAAGAGCAAACAUGGGAUAUAGGGACAAAUCUCACUUUUGUAGUUUCCUUGCAGAGAACUGAUGUCCUUCAGUAAGAGAUCCAGUUGCUAACUCAUCAGGUGGAGCAGCUGCAUCAGCUUUAUCAAGAGGC
rnacentral:lncRNA from 1 species